CGCGUAGGCGGAUCGUUAAGUCAGAGGUGAAAUCCCAGGGCUCAACCCUGGAACUGCCCUUGAUACUGGCGAUCUUGAGUAUGAGAGAGGUAUGUGGAACUCCGAGUGUAGAGGUGAAAUUCGUAGAUAUUCGGAAGAACACCAGUGGCGAAGGCGACAUACUGGCUCAUUACUGACGCUGAGGCGCGAAGCGUGGGAGCAAACA
rnacentral:rRNA from 1 species